UCUGGCUUAUAGCCCAGCGGUCUCGUUAGAGUGCCCAACUUAAUGAUGGUAACUAACGACAAGGGUUGCGCUCGUUGCGGGACUUAACCCAACAUCUCACAACACGAGCUGACGACAGCCAUGCAGCACCUGUCACCGCGUCCCCGAAGGGAACCGCCGCUUUCACGGCGUAGCGCGGGAUGUCAAGCCUGGGUAAGGUUUUUCGCGUAGCAUCGAAUUAAACCACAUGCUCCACCGUUGUGUCCCCGUCAAUUCCUUUGAGUUUUAAUCUUGCGACCGUACUUCCCAGGCGGGAUACUUAAUGCGUUAGCUUCGUUACCAAGACAAUUAGGUAUCCUGACAACUAGUAUCCAUCGUUUAGGGCGUGCCCUUUUAUCUGCUAACACUGGC
rnacentral:misc_RNA from 1 species